CACGUAGGGACCAAGCGUUGUCCGGAUUUAUUGGGCGUAAAGAGCUCGUAGGCGGCUCGGUAAGUCGGGUGUGAAAACUCUGGGCUCAACUCAGAGAUGCCACCCGAUACUGCCGUGACUUGAGUCCGGUAGGGGAGCACGGAAUUCCUGGUGUAGCGGUGAAAUGCGCAGAUAUCAGGAGGAACACCGGUGGCGAAGGCGGUGCUCUGGGCCGGUACUGACGCUGAGGAGCGAAAGCGUGGGUAGCAAACAGG
rnacentral:rRNA from 1 species